UAGCCAUCCCGAUGAUGAUUAAUUUCUGGGAAACAUCUUCAGCAGAAUUAUUUGAAGGUCUUGCAUCAGAGAGUAAAGGUACAGAGGCAGUGGCUUGUGAGAAACAGGUCAGCGAGACUGAAACCCCUUCGGUGGUUAGUAGAGAUGGGGAUGAGGCAGAAAGUUUGGAUCCAAACUGGCAUUCAGUGCUGUCAGCAAUCACAGGAGAGCAAAGGAACCCAGGGAUCGUUGGUCACUAAGUCUCCCGGUGGAAGAGUAAUGCCCACCUUUGGCUCCGGAUUGUCCCAGCCUCCCACGGGACAGGGAAAGGAAAUGGCUGUAAUGGAGCCACUCCAGGGGCCAGUGACCUUCGAGGAGGUGGCUGUGUAUUUCACCAGGGAAGAGUGGGCUCUGCUGGACCCCCGUCAAAGAGCCCUCUGCAGAGACGUCAUGCAGGAGAACUAUGAGAAUGUGACCUCGCUGGCAGGUGAUGCAAUGGUAUGUGACAAAGAGGAACAGAAUUCUCAGCAGGAAAAUGUUGAGCAAGUGGAUAAACACAGAGCAUUAUCGCAAAGAUUGAAAAGGAAUGUGUCCAGGAGUCAUGAGCAGGGAAAAUCCUGUGAGAUUCAGCACAGACCAGAAAAAAAGCAGGGAAACGAGCCAGGGGAGAAAGUGGGUAAAUGUAUUUCCUGUCGGGGAACUCAGAAGGACCUCAAGGAAACCACAACCCCGCAGGAAAUCCUCAUGGGAAAGAGAAAAAAUACAUGCACUGAGUGUGGGAAAAACUUACGUGACUACUCAGCCCAUAUAAAGCAUCAGAGAAUCCUCACAGGGGAGAGGCCCUAUGAAUGCACUGAAUGUGGAAAACUCUUCACUAAGAGUUCAGGCCUUUCUGAACAUCAGCGAAUCCAUACAGGGGAGAGGCCCUAUGAAUGCAGUGAAUGUGGAAAACGCUUCACUAAGAGCUCAGCCCUUUCUGAACAUCAGAGAAUCCACACAGGGGAGAGGCCCUAUAAAUGCCGUCAAUGUGGAAAAUGCUUCACUAACACCUCAGGCCUUUCUAAACAUCAGCGAAUUCACACAGGGGAGAGACCCUAUGAAUGCAGUGACUGUGGAAAAUGCUUCACUAAGAGUUCAGCCCUUUCUGAACAUCAGAGAAUCCACACAGGGGAGAGGCCCUAUGAAUGCAGUGAGUGUGGAAAAACCUUCAAUCGCAGCUCAAACCUUAUUACCCAUCAGACAAUCCACACAGGGGAGAGGCCCUAUAAAUGCCAUGAGUGUGAAAAAUGCUUCCUUAGCAGCUCAGCCCUUUCUAAACAUCAGAGAAUCCACACGGGGGAGAGGCCGUAUGAAUGCAGUGAAUGUGGAAAAUGCUUCACUAACACCUCAGCCCUUUCUGAACAUCAGAGAAUCCACACAGGCGAGAGGCCCUAUGAAUGUCGUGAGUGUGGGAAAACCUUCAAUCGCAGCUCAAACCUUAUUACCCAUCAGACAAUCCACACAGGGGAGAGGCCCUAUAAAUGCCGUGAGUGUGGAAAAUACUUCACUAAGAGCUCAGCCCUUUCUGAACAUCAGAGAAUCCACACCGGGGAGAGGCCCUUUGAAUGCCGUGAGUGUGGAAAAUGCUUCACUAACACCUCAGCCCUUUCUAAACAUCAGAGAAUCCACACAGGCGAGAGGCCUUAUGAAUGCCGUGAGUGUGGGAAAACUUUCAAUCGCAGCUCAAACCUUAUUACCCAUCAGACAAUCCACACGGGAGAGGCCCUAUAAAUGCCGUGAGUAUGGAAAAUACUUCACUAAGAGCUCAGCCCUUUCUGAACAUCAGACAAACCACACAGGGGAGAGGCCCUAUACAUGCUGUGAGUGUGGGAAAACCUUUUCUUGGCACUCAGCCCAUGUUAGCCAUCAGAGAAUCUGCAAGGGAGAUCAACACCAUAAAACCCUCUAAGGCUAUUAAUACUUUUUUACUUUAAUAUUUUUCCUGAUUCCCACAUAGUAACUUUUAAAGCUGCUUGAACUGUUUGCAGCGCCGUUAUCCCUCAGCUUGUCCAGUUGAGUGGUCCAUUUGAAGUUUACCCUGUUUUGAGGUUGACCCAUUUGUCCUUUCUAUCAACUCAGUUGUCCCAUGAGUAAUUCGAGUGUGCCCUUCCUAUCAGGAGCCAGAGAGCAUCACAUUUAUACUGUUCCUCCUAUUGCCAAGUUAUUGUUAGAAUCACCAAUGAUACAGAUUGUACCAUUGCCAGUUGUUCUCACGUUGCUCUGGGUUGUGCUGAAGAGCAGUUGUAUUGGGACCUUUUAAAAUUAUAUUUAAAUGAAGAGGAGCAGGGGCAGGAAAAAAAGUGUAAUUUCAGCCUCUGUGACACUGGAAGGAGAUGGAGUGACUCAGACAUUCCCUCCUUCCCCAUCACUGCAGAAUGGUUACCUUUUGUCUGAGCCAUGCAGAGUUUAUCUUCAUCACAUUCUGUCCAUCCACUUCUCAAAGUGUCAUGUGAUGUAGCGUUCUCAGUUGUCUGUGCUUGGAGAUGAUACUUUGACUUCUUUAAUCCUAUAUCAGAGUCGCUAUGACUGGAGAUGAAAGUGUUAAGGGGAAUUCAAAUGGAUCCCAAACACAGUGUGAUCAUUUGGAGUUUAAGUCCCAGGUUUCAUCUACUGGUAAAGCCACUUCUGGCAAGGUGGCUGUUUUUUCCCCAUUAUGCAAAUGCUAGGAUAAUAAAAAUGUUGUAAAAACAUAACUGACUAUUGAGACAGUGCUGAGUGAAGUAUGUUUGAAUGGAUCAGAGGAUAAUGUGAUGGGAGACUCUCUUGCCCUGAUUCUGAAUAAUCAGAUGUAACCUGCUCUUGAAUUUCACUUGACACUUUCAUUGUCAUUUAUUCUCUCUCUCUGUGAUGUGGGUUUCUAUCUUUCCUGAAGGCUGUUUGGUCACCCAAUUGAAUAUUAGUUCGGUUUGAUAGGAUGUAGCUCAGAUUUAUUGGAGAAUUUAAAACAAAUGUCUGUUCGCUAAAGUCAUGAUUUCUCACUUCACCUUUGCUUUUCCCCCAUCCCUCCAUGUUGAUAUGGAGAAAGUUCAAGUGCAGUUCUGUCAACAGGAGAGAACUUUCCAAUUUACUGGACAUGCUAACAAAGAAAAAGUGAUGAUUUAAAAUCUUGAAUCAGAAAUAGUGAACAACAGCAGAACCCCAACUAACUGAAGGAAGUGCAUAUGAUCACAGCGUAGUUCAAUUAUUGAAGUCAAUAUUGUCUUAGAUGAUCUGGGGAGAGAAUUCCAUGGUAAGUGAUUUUGAACUAGGCAAAAUCCCCAUUUUAUUUUAUUCCCAAAGCAUUUGUAACCCAGGCCCUACAGAAGAUCUCUCCUAGAUAAUCUUAUGUUAUGGGAGAUGCUGCCCUUCAUGACACAGAUGUUGAGGAAAUAGAAGUGGGGGUUUUGUUGGAUUUAUCCUUUUUAGGUGCUAAAAAUGUGUAUAAAAUGAAAUCAGUGUGGGAAAUCAAAUAGCUUGAGAAAAAUAGCUAUUUUUAAAUAGAAAUUCUAUCUCUAGUGGCUAACAGAGUUUCUGAUUCAGCCCUGUAUCCAGUCCUUUGCCUGGAACUGUGUCACCAAAGUAAAGAAAAGCUGGGCAUGUUUCGGGAAGCCAUUCCUCACUAACACUGCUGAGAUUUGGAGUGGUUUUGUAAAGGAUUCUACUUCAGAGAAGUGUAAAUUUACCCUAACCAAGGCCAAAGAUUUGGAAAGAACUGGGGUUGAAAGAGUACACACUCAGUUCUUGGUUUCCACCCCAGUAAAGGAAGCUAUGGUGACAAAUGACCCAAGGAAAAUGGUUUGUAGAAUUCCACUUACCAGUUCAGUGUCACUGAUUACAGUUCCAAAGGAUACCAGGGUUAGAUUGGGAACAGUCAUCCUUCACCGUUUCGAUCCAAAGAGAGAGUGCUUCAUAGGACAUUCCUUCCGCGUGGAUCCCAAACUGGCUGCCUGAUUGGGUAACAAGGACUUUCAGGCUGUAGAAAUGAUGGUAACCAACGAGGCAAUGAAUGUGUCAGGCUACAAUUUCAGACUUCCAGAUUCACACAUGUUGAGUCCUGAUUCUAUGGUUUUGUGUCUGAUGCUAUGGCUACACAAUAAAGCUGAUGUUGGCGCAGCUGCACCAAUGUAGCUGCGCUGCUGUAGCACUGCUAUUACAGAUGCUCUAAGCCAAUGGGAGAGAUCUCUCCCAUCUGACUUGAUUAGUCCAGCCCCUGCAAGCGGUGGUGGCUAUAUUGGCAGGAGAAGCUCUCCCACUCAUGUAGCGCUAUCUACAAAGGGGGUUAGGGCUGUGUAACUACGUUGCUCAGCUGUGUGGAUUUUUCACACCCCUGAGUAAUAUUUUUAUACCAAUUUUUUUUAGUGUAGACCAGACCGUUUUCUCUUGUGUUCUAUGCAUUUACAUCACUUGUCCUCUCCCUCAUCCUACUUUGAAAGAUUAAAAAGUGUGAAAAGAGAGGUAUUUUUCUCCAUGAUGCAAACACACCCAUAUAGGAGACCCCUUCCACCAACAUACAUGGCAGAAGAACCAGAGAUAUAAGAACUCACAGAAGUGGUUGGGACCUAUGUUGGGACAAACCACAACUUGAGCCAAGGUUCAGUUGUUGGCAAUGGAGAUUAAAAGAAAACUAACAUAUAUCACAAGAAUUUGUGAUCUUUGAAUAUGUUAUUGGUACCAAUGAAUAUUAAAUUAUAGGUGAAAUUAUUGGUUAAAGAGUAAGAGACUGUGUGACAAUCUGAAUUAUUUUGGAAAGUUGUCUUGCUUUUUGUUUUGUUAGUCAUACAGGAAAUGAUGGCUAAUCUUGAAAAGUUGAUUUAAUUUACUCCCUGUAGUGUAAGGAAUUCUGGUAGAAAACUUCACUCCAAACGUUGGGGUGGGAGAAUGUGUGUGAGAAAGAGUGUAUAAGAGAAUAUUGGCCCAGUAUAGAUUUUAAUUUUUUGUAUUUUCAAAUAGAACUUAUUUUGCUUAGUUUCAAAGUCAAUUUCUAUUAAAAGGAAAACUACUCGAGGAGAUAAAUUGUAUAAGUUUUUACCCACUUAGACUGUAAGGGUCACUAGCUUCCCCACUUCUCUAAUUUGCAAAGGAAAGGCAUGACAUCUAUCAUAGGAUGUGUCCAGUAUAUAGGAAAGCUGCAAUCAUCAACCAUCAGUAUGAAAGAAAAGGCUGAAGUCCAUUGCCUUUCAGGUCAAUAAGCCAUCUAAAGGCUGGUCUAUGCUGAAAAGCUAUGCUGGCAUAGCCACAUCUCUCAGGGGUGUGAAAAGUCCACUCCACUGAGAGAAGUAGUUAAUGUGACCUGAGCCCCAGUGUAGACAGUGUUAUGUUGUCAGAAGUAUAUUUCCAGUGUUUGAAGUGUAGACAUAGCCUUAGACAGAUUGAUCCCCUAUGGGAAGCGAGUCAUGACAUCAAUUCCAAUUUUGACCCAUCUCCCUAUAUGUGAGAAAGCUACUAGUAUGGAGGGCUGAGCCAGCUGUCCGAUCGCCUGGUUCCUCAACUGAAGCUACAGCUCUUAGUGCCCAUGAAUGCAAAGACUGAGAGUGGGGUGUGAAAUAACUGGAUGAAACUGGCUGCCUGAGCCCAGCCUAACUACAAGGGCGAGAAAGGUACUGUGUCUUUAAGAGCAAAGGCUGAAAUCAUCACAUCUCCACUUGACUCCAGGAGCUGGGACUUUAAGGAAAACAAUAACUCUCAUGAGACUCAAGGCAAAAUCACUGGCGUUGGCAGCACUGAGUUGGAUUGAGUCUUUAUUCUCCGGGAUUGCCUGGAGCAGGGGGUUCCCAGCCUUUUUCUUUCUGUGACCCGCCCCCCAACAUGAUAUAAAACCUCCACAGCCCA